rnacentral:ncRNA from 2 species
GCCCGUUCUCAGGGCGGGGCGAAAUUCCCCACCGGCGGUAUGCGGGCCAUGACCCGUAAGCCCGCGAGCGGCCUCGGUUUCGGGGUGACAAGCAGAUCUGGUGAGAGGCCAGAGCCGACGGUCAAAGUCCGGAUGAAAGAGAACGUGC